CCUCCUCUCUCUCCACAGUUUCUCCUUCUAUUCACCACAUGUCCUUGACUAUCCUCAGAUAGCCCUUGUCAAGAGAGAGGAUUGUGAUAGUGCCAUCACAGUGCCGACUGCAUAGGUAGAAUUGGCUUGAAUUUGGGCCACUAGACCUACUUCUCGUCGGUGAGUGAGAAAAUCGGGAGAUGAAGAGGCGAUGGGGAAGA
rnacentral:lncRNA from 1 species